GACGUAGGGUGCGAGGCGUUGUCCGGAUUUAUUGGGCGUAAAGAGCUAGCGUAGGCGGCUCGUCGCGUCGACCGUGAAAACCCGCGGCUUAACUGCGGGCUUGCCGGUUGAUACGGGCGGGCUAGAGUUCGGUAGGGGAGACUGGAAUUCCUGGUGUAGGCGGUGGAAAUCGCGCAGAGUAUCAGGAGGAACACCGAUGGCGAAGGCAGGUCUCUGGGCCGAUACUGACGCUGAGGAGCGAAAGCGUGGGGAGCAAACAGGAUUGAGAAACCCGAG
rnacentral:rRNA from 1 species